AGAGUUUGAUCAUGGCUCAGAUUGAACGCUGGCGGCAGGCCUCACACAUGCAAGUCGAACGGUAACAGGAAGCAGCUUGCUGCUUCGCUGACGAGUGGCGGACGGGUGAGUAAUGUCUGGGAAACUGCCUGAUGGAGGGGGAUAACUACUGGAAACGGUAGCUAAUACCGCAUAACGUCGCAAGACCAAAGAGGGGGACCUUCGGACCUCUUGCCAUCGGAUGUGCCCAGAUGGGAUUAGCUAGUAGGUGGGGUAACGGCUCACCUAGGCGACGAUCCCUAGCUGGUCUGAGAGGAUGACCAGCCACACUGGAACUGAGACACGGUCCAGACUCCUACGGGAGGCAGCAGUGGGGAAUAUUGCACAAUGGGCGCAAGCCUGAUGCAGCCAUGCCGCGUGUAUGAAGAAGGCCUUCGGGUUGUAAAGUACUUUCAGCGGGGAGGAAGGGAGUAAAGUUAAUACCUUUGCUCAUUGACGUUACCCGCAGAAGAAGCACCGGCUAACUCCGUGCCAGCAGCCGCGGUGAUACGGAGGGUGCAAGCGUUAAUCGGAAUUACUGGGCGUAAAGCGCACGCAGGCGGUUUGUUAAGUCAGAUGUGAAAUCCCCGGGCUCAACCUGGGAACUGCAUCUGAUACUGGCAAGCUUGAGUCUCGUAGAGGGGGGUAGAAUUCCAGGUGUAGCGGUGAAAUGCGUAGAGAUCUGGAGGAAUACCGGUGGCGAAGGCGGCCCCCUGGACGAAGACUGACGCUCAGGUGCGAAAGCGUGGGGAGCAAACAGGAUUAGAUACCCUGGUAGUCCACGCCGUAAACGAUGUCGACUUGGAGGUUGUGC
rnacentral:rRNA from 1 species